UUCAGAAUAUCUGGGUGUGCAUAUUGAUGAGAAGUUAAAACUGGAAACCACAUAUUAUAUAUCUAUUACAACAAACAAGUUCACCAACAUUACUUCUGAGCAUGAUGCCAAUGUCUGGUUAGGAGAGCACAAUAAAAUCAACCGAUACUACAUACAUCUAUUCAAUGGUACCACAUGCAGUAACACGUGGGACAAUGUCACUUUUUCUAAACGUGUUAUACAAUGAAUACCUGGAAUGUAAUUAUUCACGCAUAACCCAGGGUGGAUACUAAUGGCAACCUCACUGCACAUUCAUUCCCUUAAACUAUGAAGUCUAUCGUAAUGUACUUGCUGUAGUUUUAAAAUAACACCUACUAAAUAUAACAAAUUCGAUUUACGCGGAAGGGAGAAAAACACACAGCCAAAAUAUAACAUAUCUUAAAGUUAAAUAUUUUUUGUGUCCAUUUAUAAUAUCAUGGCUUCUGAUGCAUAGUGCGCUGCUAAUUUCCCAGGUUAUUACCGCAAGUUAGUUGUUAUUGUUUCUGUCACUUUAUGAGUUAAACAUUGAAAUUUGCCACAAACAUCCAAAUUAUACCUACAUGCACAAAUUAACAUCUGAUGACCUUCCUUAAUAGUAGGCAUACUGACAGGAAAUAAAGAGAGUAUUAGAAAGAAAUAUAUAUUCUUUAAAUUAUAGCUGAAGGCAGUUUGAACAGUACAAACUAUUUAAAGUAUCAAUCUUUAUGUGGCUCUUUAUGCUACUACCGAUGUUCAGUAAGUCAGUAACAACACUGUUACACAUAACUGCUAAAACUACGAAAUGAGCAUUCAAAAAUUUAAAAUUAAACUACAUUUCAAAGUUCCUUUUUUGUUUUGGCAACUCACUCAUUUCAUAUACAAUUAAUCCCUAUCAAUGAUUGUUUCCCUACUCCUAAAAUUAUCAUAUUAAGUACUGAAUUAUGUGAGAAAUACAGAAAGAAAUAUGAAACAUGAGAUCAACACUGAUAUAUUAAUCUUCACUCAUGACACAUUGUAUUCACAAUACAAGACGGUGACGCUGAAGUGGACGAACAUGGAAAUAAUAUGCUUUACUUUUGUGCUACAAAACUCAUGUAAUAACCAUGAAGUGUUGCAUCUGGUGACCAAGGAGUAUACAUCUGAUUCAAGUAUUAUAGCUCAUAUCAUUGCUUCUGGCGCCUAGUACGCUACUAAUUUUCCAGGUUAUUACCGCAAGAUAGUUACUAUUGGUAACUGGGUGUUGUGCAAUUAUCCAUGCACUGCAGCAAGUUAUCGAAGAAGCUGGUAGACUUUCAAAAUUAAAACAGGAUUUGUCACUUUUACCAAAUGCAAAAAUACGUUUAAAGCCAAGACAGAUUAUUGUUAGUUACAGAAUGUAAUAAAAGUACUUAGCACAUUUCAGUUGGGUUAUGAUUUAUUACUUAAUUAAACUUAUGCACAGAUUGAGUAUAAAUAAAAGAAUCACAACAGUGCAUGAAACUGUUUCGACCUGAUCAUCUGUCAUACAGUUCUCAUAUGUUACAUCAUAUGAACGCUGCUAACUUUAUUAAAGCGACAGACGUAAGACUAAAAUAAGUAUUCUCCUUUUUUUAUAUUUCCAUUUACCGAAGAGAGAACAUGCGACGAUCAACACAACAUUAAUAAAAUUGAAUCUAUUAAUGUCAUUAAAAAUGUCCUGGUGAGGUAAUGCAAUUCAUCUUGUCCUUAUUAUGACGCAAUGCAGUAACAACUUCGUUUGAGCUUAAAUGGGCAAACACAAAUAUUUAUACGUAGGACUUACGGUUUGAAAUAAUGGCAGAGGGCAUGAAUAAAAGUAUAGUGGCAUAACGUAUCCGUAUUAUAUGUUAUACAUGCUAGCUCACCAUUAGACACUGGGUCCUACAAUUCACAUUUGCUGAUUUCACAAAUAUCAUCAGGUACGUCCUACAUGUUGCUAACACAUUAAUCCUCCUCCUCCUCCUCAUCCUCGUCGUCAUCAUCGUCGUCGUCGUCGUCAUCAUCAUCAUCGUCAUCUUCCUCUUCGUCAGAGUCAUCAUCAGAAUCAGCAGGCAUAUUACGAGCAUCAACAUCAACGUUUAUUUCCAGCUGCAUUCUCACAUCUAGUACCAUAAAACCAACUGUUAUUAUGACAGGCAGGCGGAAUCGCGAGUCCCAGGCCAACUUUAUGAGGAAAAGCAAACUCCGCUUAAAAGCUCCACCAAGUGAUGACAUUAGUGAUUACUGUCUAUGCCUUCGGGCUCAACAUUGUACGACGACUGUAUCAAAACGUACGCCACUUCCAAA